rnacentral:lncRNA from 1 species
AAAAAAACAAAAAAAAAAAAUCUAAGUGAAGUAGAAUUUCUGGAGAAUCUUCCCUCUCUUUCGACAUAGAAUCUUUGUACUUGGCGGACAACAAUUUUAUAGCCCACCAUUGAUGGAGAAAAAACAUUUUUUCUUCGCUAGCGAUGGUUAGUGAUAGCUCAAAAUUGUAAGCAAAUGCAAGAACUUCAAAUUGGGCUUCCUCUAAGCGAUUCUAAGC